rnacentral:rRNA from 1 species
CGGGAAACUGGGGAUAAUACCGGAUAUGUGGAGUUGCCUGGAAUUGGUACUUCAUGGAAAUGCACCGGCGCCUAAGGAUGGAGCUGCGGCAGAUUAGGUAGUUGGCGGGGUAAAUGCCCACCAAGCCAGUAAUCUGUACGGGUUGUGAGAGCAAGAGCCCGGAGAUGGAACCUGAGACAAGGGUCCAGGCCCGACGGGGCGCAGCAGGCGCGAAACCUCCGCAAUGCGAGCAAUCGCGACGGGGGAAACCCCAGUGCCACUCUUAACGGGGUGGCUUUUCUGAAGUGUAAACAGCUUCAGGAAUAAGCGCUGGGCAAGACCGGUGACAGCCGCCGCGGUAACA